UACAGAGGGUGCAAGCGUUAAUCGGAAUUACUGGGCGUAAAGCGCACGUAGGCGGUUUUUUAAGUCAGAUGUGAAAGCCCCGGGCUCAACCUGGGAAUUGCAUUUGAAACUGGGAAACUAGAGUGUGUGAGAGGGGGGUAGAAUUCCAAGUGUAGCGGUGAAAUGCGUAGAGAUUUGGAGGAAUACCAGUGGCGAAGGCGGCCCCCUGGCACAACAUUGACGCUCAGGUGCGAAAGCGUGGGGAGCAAACAGG
rnacentral:rRNA from 1 species